CACUCCACAAAAAUCCACAUCAGCAUCAUCAAAAUUAACUUCUUCUUUCAUGCAGUUACAUCCUUCUAUUCUUCAAUUUCCACUAUUCUCAUAACUGUCCUUAAUCUCACACUCUUCCGAAUUCCAAAACCGUUCAGAAAAUAUUAGUGCAGCCCAUUCUUCUUCUUUCACGAUCCAUUUUCUCCAAAUUCCUUUUUACUUUGCCUCACACAAUUGAGAUUCUUCCUAUUCUGAAGACAAAGAAGCAACCGAUUCUGUUCACGGCGUUGUUGCUUGAGGUUCGUCAAUGAUGGAUAACAUCACGUAUGGUGUCUGCGGCUGUGUCGAUCUUGGGAGGAAGGGUGAUGCUCGCGGUGAUUGGUUUUGCUUUCUGAUGACCCUUCACAGUGGCCGGGUUUGAUUAAACGUUAUUGUGUUGUUGAAUCGAUUUGUGCGAGCAGAGAGUUCUUAGGGAGUGGAGUUCGACUGAGAUAUCUGUGGAGUGAGAGAGGACUGAGGUUUGAAAGAAAUCAGGGAUUGAAGGUGGACUCAGAAGUUGAGGGAAUCGUGGGAUUGAGGUGGCUCAAAGUUCCUAUUUUCCAGGCUUUUCAAGUGUGGAUCAUGGACCUGUGAUUUAAAUCUUACUGAUGGGAAUCUUUCACAUAUUGGAUUGGGUUUACAUUGUAAAUGCUCACAUAAUCUCUGGUAUUGGAAUCGUGGGUGGACUAAAAUUUAAGGUCUGUAUUGAUAGGACAGCAAUACAACUCUCCUCAUUCUGUAAGUUUUUUUUCAUAUUACCAUUCAUCCUUUUCAAGUUGCCAUUCACUUCAGCCGCAUCUUACAGGACAUCUCCGGCAUGAAGGUUCUCAUACUCGAUUCUCAAACGAUACGCCACUUUCUUUCUUCAUCAAUGAUCUCCCCCAUUCCUAACAAAUAUGAUCGUUUUAUUUCUUUGUAGAUUCCUGUAGAACUGUCCAUUAGAUUUUGAGUAGAAUCUCUUUGGACAUUCCUAACAAAGCUAAUACCAUAUUAUUUUUAAAACUCGCCUUAAUUUCUAUUAAAAAAUAUACUAUAGAUCAAAUCUACAAAAGAAUUAAUAUUUGUUCCAUUUGCAUUGUAGGUACUACUGUGACUACUGCGAUACCAACGUGUUUCCGUCAACGACUGUGGUGUUGGGAUUUAUGGUGCCAUGGCUGUUGCAGGGAGUUUUAUAUGUUCGAUUACCAGAAUUAGGAUUUCUACUCAUGGCGGAACAACCUCUCCCGUUCGAGGAUCAUGCAAUUCCGGAUGCUGACGACGACGAGGAUUGCACUGGCAGCGAUGAUACCAUGUAUGAAUUGGAAUGGUCGGAUUCCAAAUUGUUGAUAUUUUUUAUCGACUCAAUGACAACGGGAUCUAUGAUGAUGUUUUGCUUGGCAUAAUUAGGAAAAAUGUUAUUCACUAGCAAUCAAAUGGUUUCCUUCAUUCAAAACAUGAACUCGAAGCAAAUUGGGAUAUCUAAAUAGUGGUCUUCCACACAGACAGCGGUAAGCGGGUUGCAUAUGAUUUAAGUGCCGUGUUCAUAUCUAAGGGUAAAUUUCUUUAUUUGCUGUUAAAUUUGAUAUGAGAAAGAGUUCUUUCUAUGGCUUAUUUUGCAUUCAACUUCCAUUCUUAGUAUUUGGAGGACUCAUGGCUGAAAGUGCAAAGAAAUUGCAGGUUUUUUCCUAAUAAAAAGAAUGGUUAAUAUAUAAGAAGGAAUUACAAUGUCUGCCACAGUGUGUUUUCCCAUGAAGUUAAUGGAAUACACCUAAAGACACUGUUGCAAUAGCAGUUGUAUUAUAGCUUAUGUUUAUGUUACGUGCUUAUAUAAGAACUAAUCAUGUUCUUGCUCAACAGGAUCGGGCUCAUGGAAGGUUCCCAUCUCUUCUGCCUUCCAAUCAGUAUGGUACUGACUCCAGAGGUUUGUGAUAGUAGAAAUGUUUAGUUUUAAUAAUGACAGUAACAUGUCUAUCAAGAAUUUCCUUCCCAGAAACAAGACCCCUCUCAUUUUCAAUUUCCAAUGAUAAGGAUCUACAGCGAAUGGUUAAGUUUCAUUACGAUUCGAGUACUGUCGAAAUCUAUGUCUUUGUUGAAGAGGUACUUGCCCUUGAGGUCUCUACCAUUCCUGACAGUAGGUCAAGUAGAACAACUUUGUCUGAAACAAUGUUGUCGUUCAAUACUAUUCUGAAUCAUGACACUGAUUAUGCUCCACCUGUUGCUUCUCAUGAUAUCAUUCGAAUUGAUGCGGAUAUGGAGAUACCUCUUUUGAGUCUUUCGUCAAAUGAGGAGAAGCUGUCUAAAGGGGCACAACAGUGGCAUAAUACUAUUACUGGUGUGGGUCAAAGGUUUAACAGUGUACAUGAGUUUCGAGAGACGUUGCGUAAAUAUGCUAUUGCUCAUCAAUUUGCAUUCAAAUAUAAAAAGAAUGAUAGUCAUCGUGUGACUAUUAAAUGCAAAGCAGAAGGUUUCCCUGGGAGAAUUCAUGCGUCGAGGCUGUCAAGUACUCAGUUGAUGUGCGUCGAUGACUAAUAAUUAUCUAGGCGUGGAAUAGCAAAACUAAGAACACCAUGUCAGGCUGUGUUCCGUCACAGAUAGUUGGCUUGACCAGGACAACCAUGAUAAUGGGAUUGAAUUCAAAAUGACGUUGUUCUGAUGGCCGCUCUGGCUGCGUGAGCCGUAUAUUGCUUACAAUACUAUUCCUUAUACAUUGCUUGCUUGGACUGCGAUUGAGUGGUGAAUGUAUUGUAUUUGGCUAUGUUUUGUAUUUAUGGCUUUCAAGUUUAUGUACUUUGGAAUCAAUGUGGUUGUAUAGGCUAUUAUGGUGAUUUGUGUUGCUGCAGGUUUAUAACCAGAUUGGCAAGUGAGAACAUUUUUCCAGUUGAUUGCGGUGCAUUUGAACUGGCUUUCGAUGCCGUUUGCAGCAGGAUGGAAGUGGUUUUGGAGCGUGAAGAUGAAACUUACCUGGGAGGUGUUGCAGCAGAUUGACAUCUUAAUGUCCUUUAUCUCAGAUGCACUCUGAUGACGAGAAAUCCAUGUUUUGAUUAGGCUUGCAACCUUGCUAACUAAAGAUGGGCACCCAGGAGGGUUGGCUCUAUACUUGAGCAGAAGAUAUUCUUCAAUAAAAUCUUCAAUACAAAAUGAUGCUUCUCUUAGAUGCUUCACCCAAUUUCUUAGUCCAUCAUUGGUUUCUGCUUGAUCGGCGGCCCUUAUGUCUGCAUACGGUUCAUGAAUGAAUUUAUGGAGAUCGAACUGAAAAACUGCCAUUUAAAGAUAUAAUAGAAGGAAUGAGAAUGGAUCUAAAGAAAUCAAGAUACAAACUUUGUAUUAUAUUUCUAAUAUAGCAGAACAAAAUGGCGAGGCUGUUUGAGAAUAUUAAGAACAUUGCUGAUAGGACAGAGCUUUGGAAAAUCGCUGUGAAGAUCCAUCACAAAUGGAACUUAUUUCUAAUUUAUUUAACAUCAAUAUUUUUUAGUGGAUCUACUAUGCUUGAAAGUGAUAGAAAAAUUAACUAUUGCAAUUCUAUACUAUUUUCUUCUCUCCAAAUUUUUUACAAUUAAAGGCAAACAUGCAUUUAAUCACUGUGCCCUUAUGUUGCGGCUGUAUGUAAGGCUGUUGUGUUUGAUGGAUCCACAAUCAUCCCCAGUUUGGAAUGAGCCUAUCCUUGGACAUACAUUCCAACUACACGCUUCGUUUGUAUUUUCACAACUGAUAUUGAUGCCUUAUUUUCUGUUACGAUAACCUACAUAUGUGAUGUUGGUAUCUCUUAAUCAUUUGGUCAUCUCUUUGAUAUUUUUUUAUUCGAAAUCGUUAUUUUGUUGUGUUUAACAUCCAUGUCCAUUUCUUUUAAUGGAAUUGGGAUCUUAUGCAAAGUGAUUUUUAAGUAGCAUAACAACCAUUGAUUUAGAGUUUUGACAUGUUUUUCAGGAUGGUCCACAUCGGCACAAGCCGAAAAAGAACAAUGCACUCGAGGCUUCUGAAAGUUUGAGAAGUAAAAAGAUAUCUGCUAGAUGGGAUCCAGCCGAAGCAUGUCGGCCUAUAAUAGACGAAGCACCUGUGUUUCAUCCGACUAUUGAAGAGUUUGAGGAUACUCUUGAGUUAUAUUGUGAAGAUACGCUCCUUAGUCGAACCGUAUGGCAUAUGUAGGAUUGUCCCUCCAGCUUGCUUUCGGGGCUGUUACUACAAUGUUUAAUAUUAGUAGAAAAUUAAGAUUGUAAUGGGUAUUAGCAAGCAAGAAUACUGAAGAUUUCUUCAAUUCUAAAGUUUCAUCACCUAGAAAAUAAACAUUCAGGUGUAACUUAUUAUUUAUUAUCCUCAACUCUGGCAUCACAAAGAAAUAUACAGUAUUUAACUUCAGUUCUUCAUUUCCGUUUAUCUUGAAUCUGCCAAGCUAUAGCUCCAAAUUAACCUAUAAUAUGUUCAUUUUUUGCUCUCCUUACAAAAUGCACAACUUCCUCACUGGAGUAAUCUUUCCAUUUGUGGAAAUAUAGCACCAAUGGUUUAAGAGUUUCAUUCACUAACAAAAUUAAAUUGUGUCGUACUCCAAGUUUUCCCACCUAAAGGGAGAAACUGAGCCUACAAAAGGGGUUCCCCGGAUAAUAAAUUGCAUUCAUCAUAUUGAAUAUCGAAUUAUAUUGUAUACUAGAUGUCUUAUGUGUUGGUUAAAUCAUUAGACUUCUUUCUGGUAUUAGGCUUGUAUGCAGGAAAGUUUGACAUACUAAUUCAUUUUGAUGCCAAUUGGAUUGAAUUUUGACAUUUUGAGACAUUGAAUAUCAAU